GACGAACCGUGCGAACGUUGUUCGGAAUCACUGGGCUUAAAGGGCGCGUAGGCGGGCUGUCAAGUCUGGGGUGAAAUGCCACGGCUCAACCGUGGAACUGCCUCAGAUACUGACGGCCUCGAGGAAGGUAGGGGCAUGCGGAACUGUAGGUGGAGCGGUGAAAUGCGUUGAUAUCUACAGGAACUCCGGUGGCGAAAGCGGCGUGCUGGACCUUUUCUGACGCUGAGGCGCGAAAGCUAGGGGAGCAAACGGG
rnacentral:rRNA from 1 species